ACUGGCGCAGCCUGUCGUAGAGCCGUCCGAAGAAAGGAAGCCCUAGAACGCCCGCCGCCAAAUCCCUUCGCCUCCCUGACCACGGAUAUACUGGCACGGAGACGAGAUGGAAGCACAGUGGAGCCGGAUUUGUGUCCGGCUCUAUUCUGU
rnacentral:sRNA from 1 species